GUCACCACCUAUGUCAGACAUUCAGACUAUGAUCGGUCUCUUAAAUGCGUACAAGAACCCGUUGCACACGCACAGAGCUUGUCGAUAGAUCUGCUGCUGCCAAAUCUGACCGUGGCCCACAAAUCAAGAAAACAAACGUUGAAAUUCUGACACAAAAGUUGAUUUUUGGGGGGACGUUCUUGAAGUUAAACUCUGUCAGCCUCGUGCGGUUCAAAACCAGGUCUGAAGGCAUUUGGCGGACAGCCUAGCUCCGGCAAGAAACUUCGGAUGUGGUUCUGGUACUCGGCAGAAAUGGAACCAAAUAAGAAGACUAUCCCAGGCCCUGUCGGAAUGGGGUGAUCGGGCAACAAGUAGCUGAGUGCCGGAACAAGCACCGUUGUAAAAGAAAGCGGACGGGCCAAGCCCUGCAAGGAACUUCUCCUCUGAGGACUUUAAUCGCACGAAGCAACAAAGAGCCACAGUAUGGCGUGUUUGAUCAGCCGAGUGAUCUUUCGUCGUAUUACAUCGGGGAUGUUUAUCAGCAUCGGGUACCAGCUUGGCAAGAACGCAUC